rnacentral:rRNA from 1 species
AUACGAAGGGUGCAAGCGUUAAUCGGAAUUACUGGGCGUAAAGCGCGCGUAGGUGGCUCGUUAAGUUGGAUGUGAAAGCCCCGGGCUCAACCUGGGAACUGCAUCCAAAACUGGCGAGCUAGAGUAUAGCAGAGGGUGGUGGAAUUUCCUGUGUAGCGGUGAAAUGCGUAGAUAUAGGAAGGAACACCAGUGGCGAAGGCGACCACCUGGGCUAAUACUGACACUGAGGUGCGAAAGCGUGAGGAGCAAACAGGAUUAGAUACCCUGGUAGUCCACGCCGUAAACGAUGUCGACUAGCCGUUGGGAUCCUUGAGAUCUUAGUGGCGCAGCUAACGCAUUAAGUCGACCGCCUGGGGAGUACGGCCGCAAGGUUAAAACUCAAAUGAAUUGGCGGGG